rfam:Myotis lucifugus cont2.19889, whole genome shotgun sequence.
UUCUAUGGUUAGUUUUGCAGGUUUGCAUCCAGCUGUGUGAUAUUCUGCUGUGCAAAUCCAUGCAAAACUGACUGUGGUA